rnacentral:tRNA from 1 species
GCCGAAGUGGUGGAACUGGCAGACACGCACGACUCAAAAUCGUGUGGGAUUAUCCCAUGAGGGUUCGAUUCCCUCCUUCGGCACCA